GACAGAGGGUGCAAACGUUGCUCGGAAUUACUGGGCGUAAAGCGCGUGUAGGCGGACCACCAAGUCGGACGUGAAAGCCCUGAGCUCAACUCAGGAACUGCAUCCGAAACUGGCGGUCUGGAGUAGUGGAGAGGAAAGCAGAAUUCCUGGUGUAGAGGUGAAAUUCGUAGAUAUCAGGAGGAACACCGGUGGCGAAGGCGGCAUCCUGGACCGGUAUUGACGCUGAGGCGCGAAAGCUAGGGGAGCAAACGGG
rnacentral:rRNA from 1 species